GCCUGUUCGAGCGUCAUUUCACCCCUCAAGCUCAAGCUUGGUAUUGGAUCUCAUCCGAGAGGAUGUAUCCGAAAGAAAGUGGCAGUUUGUAGAACUUCAAGCGCAGUGAAAUAUUUUCGUUUCGAAGAUUCUACAGGCUUGCCAAAAACCAAAUUCAAGACUUUGACCUCGGAUCAGGUAGGGAUACCCGCUGAACUUAA
rnacentral:misc_RNA from 1 species